UUACCUCAAAUCAGGUAGGAAUACCCGCUGAACUUAAGCAUAUCAA
rnacentral:rRNA from 1 species